rnacentral:rRNA from 1 species
CAGUAGCCGCGGGAAUACGUAGGUCCCGAGCGUUGUCCGGAUUUAUUGGGCGUAAAGCGAGCGCAGGCGGUUUGAUAAGUCUGAAGUUAAAGGCUGUGGCUCAACCAUAGUUCGCUUUGGAAACUGUCAAACUUGAGUGCAGAAGGGGAGAGUGGAAUUCCAUGUGUAGCGGUGAAAUGCGUAGAUAUAUGGAGGAACACCGGUGGCGAAGGCGGCUUUCUGGACUGCAACUGACGCUGAGGCUCGAAAGCGUGGGAAGCAAACAGGAUUAGAUACCCGUGUAGUCCCUGUCUCUUAUACA